rnacentral:rRNA from 1 species
AGAGUUUGAUCAUGGCUCAGAUUGAACGCUGGCGGCAUGCCUUACACAUGCAAGUCGAACGGUAACAGGUUAAGCUGACGAGUGGCGAACGGGUGAGUAAUAUAUCGGAACGUGCCCAGUCGUGGGGGAUAACGCAGCGAAAGCUGUGCUAAUACCGCAUACGAUCUAUGGAUGAAAGCGGGGGAUCGCAAGACCUCGCGCGAUUGGAGCGGCCGAUAUCAGAUUAGCUAGUUGGUGGGGUAAAAGCCCACCAAGGCGACGAUCUGUAGCUGGUCUGAGAGGACGACCAGCCACACUGGAACUGAGACACGGUCCAGACUCCUACGGGAGGCAGCAGUGGGGAAUUUUGGACAAUGGGCGCAAGCCUGAUCCAGCAAUGCCGCGUGCAGGAUGAAGGCCUUCGGGUUGUAAACUGCUUUUGUACGGAGCGGAACGGUCUUCUCUAAUACAGAGGGCUAAUGACGGUACCGUAAGAAUAAGCACCGGCUAACUACGUGCCAGCAGCCGCGGUAAUACGUAGGGUGCGAGCGUUAAUCGGAAUUACUGGGCGUAAAGCGUGCGCAGGCGGUUAUAUAAGACAGAUGUGAAAUCCCCGGGCUCAACCUGGGACCUGCAUUUGUGACUGUAUAGCUAGAGUACGGUAGAGGGGGAUGGAAUUCCGCGUGUAGCAGUGAAAUGCGUAGAUAUGCGGAGGAACACCGAUGGCGAAGGCAAUCCCCUGGACCUGUACUGACGCUCAUGCAC